CUCGUAGGCGGCUUGGUAAGUCGGCUGUGAAAGUCCGAGGCUCAACCUCGGAACUGCAGUCGAUACUGCCAUAGCUAGAGUCAGGUAGAGGAGAAUGGAAUUCCCGGUGUAGCGGUGGAAUGCGCAGAUAUCGGGAGGAACACCAGUAGCGAAGGCGGUUCUCUGGGCCUGUACUGACGCUGAGGAGCGAAAGCGUGGGUAGCAAACA
rnacentral:rRNA from 1 species